AUGAAUUAGAAAGAAAGAGAUCAGGUUAUUUAUGAUCGGAGAAAAGGAAGGGGUGUGGUUGAUGUGUCACUAGGAACCCGUACGAAGGGGAGACGACCGACCUCAUUCACAUCUGAAAUCGCCAACAUGAACACAAACGAAAUUGUCGAAUUUCGUAUAGAAAGAAAAAAAGGAAACAAGUAA
rnacentral:rRNA from 1 species